rnacentral:pre_miRNA from 1 species
AUUAUACUCCCUCCGUCCCAAAAUUCUUGUCUUAGAUUUGUCUAAAUAUGGAUGUAUCAAGUCACGUUUUAGUAUUAGAUACAUCUGUAUCUAGACAAAUCUAAGACAAGAAUUUUGGGACGGAGGGAGUAUAAC